rnacentral:rRNA from 1 species
AGUUUCGAAUCAUUCACAAUGGGCGCAAGCCUGAUGAUGCAACGCCGCGUGGGGGAUGAAGGCCCUAGGGUUGUAAACCCCUGUCACUGAGGAGCAAAACCUAGAUUCAUAGUCUAGUUUGAGUUAACUCAGAGAGGAAGCAGUGGCAAACUCCGUGCCAGCAGCCGCGGUAAUACGGAGACUGCAAGCGUUACUCGGAAUUACUGGGCGUAAAGGGUGCGCAGGCGGCUAGGUGUGUCAGAUGUGAAAUCUCGAAGCUUAACUUCGGGGCUGCGUUUGAAACUGCCUGGCUAGAGUUUUGGAGAGGCAGGCGGAAUUUCUGGUGUAGCGGUGGAAUGCGUAGAUAUCAGAAGGAACACCAAUGGCGAAGGCAGCUUGCUGGACAAAUACUGACGCUCAUGCACGAAAGCGUGGGGAGCAAAAAGGAUUAGAUACCCUUGUAGUCCACGCCGUAAACUUUGUACACUCGAUUUUGGGACAUUCGACCGUUUCAGAGUCUAAGCUAACGCGAUAAGUGUACCGCCUGAGGACUACGGUCGCAAGACUAAAACUCAAAGGAAUUGACGGGGGCCCGCACAAGCGGUGGAGCAUGUGGCUUAAUUCGAUGUUACGCGAAGAACCUUACCUAGGCUUGACAUACACUGGACAGUUUGCGAAAGCAAAUCUUCCUUCGGGACCGGUGAACAGGUGCUGCAUGGCUGUCGUCAGCUCGUGUCGUGAGAUGUUCGGUUAAGUCCGGCAACGAGCGCAACCCUUGUCUUUAGUUGCCAGCGGGUAAUGCCGGGGACUCUAGAGAGACAAACCGUUAAGGUGGGAAGGAGAGGAUGACGUCAAGUCAGCAUGGCCCUUACGUCUAGGGCUGCACACGUGCUACAAUGCCCAGUACAAUGAGAAGCAAUCUCGCGAGAGGGAGCAAAUCUAUAAAACUGGGCCCAGUUCAGAUUGAAGUCUGCAAUUCGACUUCAUGAAGUCGGAAUCGCUAGUAAUGGCGCAUCAGCUACGGCGCCGUGAAUACGUUCUCGGGCCUUGUACACACCGCCCAUCACGUCCUGAAAGCCGGUUUUACCCGAAGCGCAUGAGCUAACCUUCACAGGGGGCAGUGUUCUAAGGUGGGGUUGGUGAUUGGGACGAAGUCGUAACAAGGUAACCGUA